UUAAUUGAAACCAAAUUAGAGGUAAUUCAUUGUUAAUGAUAUAAUUGAAUUUAAUUCCAAUUAAA
rnacentral:tRNA from 1 species